rnacentral:lncRNA from 1 species
CUGAUCCGGUGAGUACUCCUCGCCUUCUUCGGCUUGCGGUACCCACUGGGAGGGGAGACAUGUUUACAUGUUCUCACCUCCCCCACUAUUUUUUCAGGUAUUACAGGUGUUGAGUUUUGGGACGAGACGUGAGGUACGUUCGUAGCGGUCGAUAGAGCUUCCGACCCAGGUUAUCGGUUUAGUUUUACCCCUACUAUUCUGUUGUUAUAGCUUAGUCAGUUCAUAUGGUUCAGUAUUUUUAUUACAUUGGAAAAUGUGGAUUUCUGGAUUUUGUAAAAUAAAAGGUUUUCUACCCCUCGUGGUAGCGUUUUUAACGAAUAAGGGUUUCCGUGUAGGGAACAGUUUUCAAAAGAAUUUUCGUGAAUUUAUAUUUAAACACUGAACAUAAAACUGUGAUGUGAAUGGUGAAUGUAUGAAUGUAUGGUUAUCUUUAUAUUCAUUUGGUUGUGGUUGUUUCCUGGCUAUACUCUUGUACUUGUGUGACGCCGUGCAAGUACAGGGGAGACUCUGUCCGUGUGAAUAGUGGAUUCCCUGUAUUUGUGGCGGAUCUGCCAUACUCUGG